CUGACUUUGAGUUUCUCCUCAGGGCACUACAGGCAAAGCCGGGGACCCAGGGAGAGACGUAAGUGAAGGGAGCU
ensembl:miRNA